CCUACGGGGGACAGCAGUGAGGAAUAUUGGUCAAUGGCCGGAAGGCUGAACCAGCCAUGCCGCGUGAAGGUCAGUGCCCUAUGGGCGUUAAACUUCUUUUGUGCGGGAGCAAUAAUGGUCACGUGUGGCCAGACGAGAGUACCGUACGAAUAAGCAUCGGCUAACUCCGUGCCAGCAGCCGCGGUAAUACGGGGGAUGCAAGCGUUAUCCGGAUUUAUUGGGUUUAAAGGGUGCGUAGGCGGGGAGGUAAGGCAGCGGUGAAAUGCCCGCGCUCAACGGGGUGAAGUGCCAUUGAUACUGCCGUGCUGGAAUGCGGAUGCCGUAGGAGGAAUGUGUGGUGUAGCGGUGAAAUGCAUAGAGAUCACACAGAACACCGAUUGCGAAGGCAUCUCACGAAGCCGCGAUUGACGCUGAUGCACGAAAGCGUGGGUAUCAAACAGGAUUAGAUACCCUUGUAGUC
rnacentral:rRNA from 1 species